rnacentral:lncRNA from 1 species
AUACAUUGUGAAAAAUCAUCAACCAAGAAGGGGCCAUCAGGAUAGAACACGUUAGCCUGUGGAGCUGGGAGCAUGCUGGAGAAUGGAUUUAGCUACAGCUUUGCUUCGUGCGUGGUGUCUGUUUGUUUCUUUACUUUUAGAUUUUGAUAGCCAGAGAAUCUAGGUGCCAAGAGUUGAUUCAUUUUUGUAAUCAUUGAUUUACAUGCACUUCUGGGUGUGCACCUGUCUGUCUCUCAUACAUUUUCUCCAUUUUCUAUUAACGACCAUGCUCUAGGGGAACUAUUUAUAGCCCACCCAUCGAGGAGGCCCACGUUUUAGUCACGCCAGGCCUCCUUUCUCCCGUGUGGUCUUUCUUCUGAAACAAAGAAGAAAUAGUCAAAUCAGACUUACCCUCUUGGAAAUGUGGUCCAGAUUGCUCUACUCCCAAGCUCCAAAAAAGGUAUCCUUGAGUGGGCUCGAGCCACACCUCCUCGGAGCCGUGAAGCCACGGAGGUGUUUUCCACAUUGCAGGUGGGGCAGAGAAAAAUCCCAUCUCAGAGCAGAGGGGGGGCUUUGGAACAGAGAUGGUUACUCAUCUCUCUGCCACUCCAACUUCGAGACCAGGGGCAAGUCAUUUAGACGCUGUGAGCCUCUUUAUCUUCAAAAUGGGGAGAAGUAAUGCGCCCUAAGGGAAGAUUGUAAGAAUUAAGUGAAAUAAUGCAUAUCCAUGCCUAACAAAGCGCUUAGCAUGUUAAAAAAAUAGUUCAUGAAAUAUUACUUAUUCCCCCUUCCCCUCUCUCUUCCCUGUCUCUUCCUUUUUCUCCCCCUCUCCCUUCAGAUGUUAGUCUAAAACCAGCCCCUUCAAGAGAGAAAAUACUAGAAAAUGCCUAAUAAAAUACAAGCAAGCAACUAAAAAAAAAAUGCCUAGUUGCCUCCUUUCCAUAUGUGGCUGACAUCCGUCAGUUGGAUCAAUAGUUUAAUUCUUUUCCCUUGAACUGUUUUAAUGAUGAUUGACCUAUUUUCACUUCUGCUGUUUUCUGUAUGUUUAUUUUUGCUUGACUGUUUUAAUAUUGACUAUUGAUCUCUACUCAUUUUUACUGGUUUUCUGUAAUUUUUUUUUCAAUGAGAAUUCCAAUAAAACUUACUCUGUUUAUCUUUGGCCUCUCCAUUUCCUCCACACAACGGGAUUUUAGCCUACGCUCUGAAAAUAUCUGGGCUGCUCCAGAAAGAUAAAUGAUGCCUUUUCCUUAGAAACUGCCCACUGGUAGUGCCAGGAGAACUGGAUCCUUUCUGUUCUAUUUGCAUAUCAGUGUGCUUGGGGUAAUGGGUCGUGUUAGUUGUAACUUUUGAUGCUAGUUUAACUUUCAAACAUACAGAAAUUAUAUAAAAAAAAUUUACAGAGUUCCCGUCAUGGCUCAGUGGUUAAUGAAUCCGACUGGGAACCAUGAGGUUACGGGUUCAAUCCCUGGCCUUGCUCAGUGGGUUAAGGAUCUGGCGUUGCCAUGAGCUGUGGUGUAGGUUGCAGACAUGGCUCAGAUCCCGCGUUGCUAUGGCUCUGGCGUAGGCCGGUGACUACAGCUCCGAUUAGACCCCUAGCCUGGGAACCUCCAUAUGCCGCAGGAACGGCCUAAGAAAUGGCAAAAAAAAAAAAAAUUACAGAGUAAUUUAAAUGUAUUGCUAUAAAAAACAGAGUAUAAGUAAAAGUCUGUAAAAGUCUGUGAGACCAUAUUUGUAUCCAGAGUUCUUCUUUAAUUGAAUUUGUUUUUCAAACCAUAUUCUUAGCCAUAUAUAUAGAUAUAUAUCCAGAUCCUAUUAGCAUCUCUCCCCCUUAGUACGUAUUCAAAUAGUAGUGGAUAAGUUAAUGGGAGAGAAAGGAAGGGAGAAGAUGUGGGGAGGGAAAUAAAGAAGUAAAAGGCCCUAUCACCAUCAGAAAUAGACUGUAUGGUGAGGAAAGUAGGGCAUACACGCAUACUCAGCUAAAGGUCUACUACAAGAGUUCAAUUCUGGAGCAGGAUAGAUAUUACUAGGACAUUCCGGAUGAAAUGUGAUGAGUGACAUAAACAAAAUUCCUGUAGGGAUUCAGAGCAAGGAAAGUUCUCUAGAAUCAGGGACGGAUCUGUGUCAGGAUUUAGGACAUCAGCCAAAUUUCCAUGGGCAAGAGUCAAGGACUUAGAAAUUAAUUUAUCAAGGAAUUUAUGAAAAGCUCAAGUGAGUAGUUCUUGGAAAUUUUUCCAGCAUACAAACUGUUCGACCCUGGAGCACGUAUUUACUUCUAAAUAUCAUGGCAAGUGCCAUUAGAAGCAGAUAGUAGAGUUUAACGGACACACUUGCUCAGAUUAAUUAAUUACUGCUGAAUCCCAGUGGGCUGCAAUUAGCUCUUACCCAUGUGGGAGAAGACAAGUCUAGGCUGCCAGCAGGCCUGUGAUCUUAAGGAUGGCCAUACACUUGUCCGAUCUUUCCCCUCUUUUCUUCUUGCGUGGUUGUCUCUAAGCUCCAAUAUUACUGAAGUUGUGAGGCAGCUUGUGCAAAAGUGGUUGCCUUCAACAAGGACCCAGCAUCCUCCAGCAGCUCUAGAUAUUGAAUCUGUCACUAGACGCUGGCCUUUCAGGGAGAUGGGGUGGCAACAGAUCUCACAGUGCAUUCCUUUGUAAAGUGCGUAUCAAUCACUGCCCAGUGGAACAAAAUGCUGUCGUAAAAAGCGAUGUCACCCAACAAACAAAUGAGUAAAGACCUGACCGUGAUCAUGCCACAAGCAGGAGACACAGGCAUCGGCACAGGGUGAGAGUGAAAUACGGGACAGAACAAUCCUUUUCACUUUCUUUCCUUCCCAAAGCCUCAUCAAAAGUUUCACAUCAUCAGAGGUUUCACCAACAAAAUUACCUUAAUCAAUAGACAGUAAUAUCCAUGGGAUCUGGGUUGGGCAGCUUCAAAAAAACCACGCGUUGUCUUCCACAUUCAAAUCCUAAAGCAGCACUAUGGAAUGAUAAGACUUCCUGUUUGGUGGAAUAACAAGUUCAGAAUUAUAUCAUUCUUUGGACAGUUGCAGGAACUCUGAAGCCAUGGUUCCUUGCAAAGACUUAUCUUUCUCGUCCCAAUCUGGACCUCCCACUUGUCUUUGCCUGAGCGAGAGUGGACGUAUGCUCACCCCCACUCUCACCUGCCUACAUUUAUGACCCAAAGUCACUCAUAUCCACAUGUCAGGCGUGACUGAUGGGGAGGUGCAGCAGCAGCUCCAGGUGAGAGUGGAGUCUACACAGGGGAACAGAGCCCAGGACCUCAGGGAGCCCAAAAUAACAUGACCCUCUUGGUCAUGAGCUUCAGGUCUUCCAUCUCUAAACUAUUCUUAAAAUCAGAUCUCCCAAGGGCAGCCACUCCAGAGAGAGUAGCCCCAAACCUGUACUUACCCAGUUCUCCUUGGGUUGGAAACACUGAGGGUCAGUGGGUAGAGUGGGAGAGGGUUUGAAGCAAUCUCUCAUGAUGCUACUUACUGGAUGGCUCUUCUCUUCAAGACCUUUCAUCAAAGAGCCCCUAGACAUAGGACUGUCUGCUAGUCCAGGCCUCCUCAUCUCUCUUUUCACCUUUAUCCAGAUGAAUAUAAAAUGAAUUGGUUGGUUUAAGGUAAUAAUAUUAUGGCCCUCAUGGUUCAUUCUUUCAUUCCAUUAGCUCUUUUCUCUUUCAUAUGUUUAUUUGGACAUUACAAAAUAGAGCUUCCUGGCCAAGAGAUAUAAACAUAUUCUGGGAAUAGGUUUUAAAAGGGAACAUACAAGCAACUUAUUGCUCAUCCAAAAUCAGAUUGCAAAGAGGGCUCAGUGAAUAUGAUGACUUAGUUGCUUGCUGAAUUAAGUUCAAAGUGCCAACCGUGACCAUCAAGUCCCCAUGAGGCCUGCAUUUGUCCCCUCUCUCUGACUUCAUCUCCCGCCUCUAGUUCAACCCCUCGCGGAUUUUUUUCAUGUUCCCUAAGUAAACCAAAUGCACUUCUAGUGCAGAGCCAUUGAAAUUGCUGUUCCCUCUGCCUAGAAUAUUCUUCCUAGACACCUACUUGUCUCAUCUUCUCAUUGCUUCAAGUCUCUUCUCAAAAGUCUCCUUAUCAGUGAGACCUGUCACGUGACUAACCGCUAGCAAAUAAUCAGUCCCAUGUAUAUAUAAUAUAGAUAUAUGAGUCUGUGGAUAACUGAAUCACUUUCUUGUACACUUGAAACUAACACAUUGUAACUUAACUAUACCUUAAUUAAAAAAAAAAAUAAGUCCCCUCUUCCUCCACACUCCCACCACCUAACCCUGAUUCAUUUUUGCCAUAGGUAACACCUUUCAUUUAUCUGAUAUACUCCAUGUCUACCUAAUUUUUAAAGAUCGCUUGGUUGCCUUUCCUCACUAGAAUAUAAGCUCCAGGAGGCGAGGGGAUAGAUCUGUCUCUUGUUUACUGCUUUAUCUCCAGAGUCUGUGCGUUGUAGACAUUCAAAUAUUUGUUGAAUGAGGUAAUAGUCAUCAGGUACUUCCUGGCAUCUUUGUGUCUAGAUGCUGACAUUAUGUAUCACAAUAGCAAAUAAUUGCUUGUAUUUCUGCUCAUUUGAAGUAACGAUGCUUUAAGCAUUAUCUUCUCAUAAGACCAAAAACAAAAAAACAACAAAAAAAAACACUUUAUGUUUUCCAGUGUCCCCCCCCCUUAUAAGUAAUAGCAUGGUGUGCAUCUUUGCCCAUCAAAUUUUAUACAAAUUCUUCCCUAUGAAAAAAUGUUUUGUUGUGGAAUUACUGAGUCAGAAGUUAAUGGGCAUUUUUAUGGCUCUUUAUUUAUGUUACCAAAUUGCUUUCCAGGGAGAGCAGUCCAUACUCCAACAGAAGGAAAGUGUCAGAAAUUUUUGUUUGACUUUUUGGGGGGCAGUAUCAUGUUGAUUUCUAACCAAGUUAACCAGAUUCCCUUGUUCUCCCGGUUCUUUUAUCCCUCCUGACAAAGUCCAAUUGUGCUAUUCUUAUUUACAUUUUGAACUUUGAUUCUAGAUAUAGGAGGAAAGAAAUUUUUUAGAAAUAGAAGCAAGUCAGAAACUGUAUUUUCCAAGUCCUCUAUUAUACAUAAGAGGCAAGGAAGUUCCAAAAUCAAACUAUUGGUUGCGAGCAAGGCUAGGCAUGAGGGAUUAGGGCCUGGUGGCUCUCAGGUCAGCACCUGAAAAUAUGUGAAAACAGCGAGUUAGUUUACAGGAAUCAGAGUACACCGUGCUACCUCUGAAUGAUCAGUGUCUACCUGUUCCUUGUUGAAAUUAAUGUCAAAAUGUCCACAAGAGUCUCUCUUGAUGUUGAGAGAUUAGAUAGAUUUCUGGCGAGUAGGAUGUAACUUUUAAGCUGAACUACCUGUUCCACUUGCUACAUUAACUUGUUCUGGAAUGCUGUUUAUCUUAUUUUCUCUUGCACAAUCUGACCUCUUCACAUUUGCCUUCUUUAUUUCAUAAAAUGACAACCAAGAAACUAGUUGCAUUUGUUGCAAAUCUUUGAAUAGAAGUAAAACAAUUAGAUAACCGGUCUCCUUCCCAAAGGAAAAGGGUUUGUGCUCCUCUGAGCUAACACAAAAUUGUCGUUUGGACACUGUGGGAAUGACUAUUCAAAUGAAUGCAUACAUUUAUAGAAAGCUAUAUGCCUUUGAAGACAUUUCUCUCACAUAUACACACACACCUCCUCUUUCUCUCUAGGGAAAUGUAGGCUAAUGAAAACUUGGAAUUAUAUUUUGCCUUUCCUUUUAAAUCCUCAAAACCAAUACUGUAUUUUGGUUUUUGUUUUUUUUCUUUCUCACAUGUGUAUGCCUUCAUAAGAUCUCUUUUCAGAUAAGGUGUUCUUACCUUAUUCAUGGAUUGAUUUGCUACAAGAAUGUCAUAGCAGAAGAUCAAACAGUGCUUAACAUCCGUGGUAAACAAGAAUAAUUAACAGAGCUCUGUUUAUUUCUAAAAAGAUCUUGAGGGACGAAUCAAUUAAUAGCUUAAAUAGAACACUGUGUCCUGAUUAAAAAA